rnacentral:tRNA from 1 species
GGGCCGCUAGCUCAGUCAGGUAGAGCAUCGGACUUUUAAUCCGCAGGUCGAAGGUUCGAAUCCUUCGCGGCCCA